CGAGUACGAAAGACAAUCGCGAGCGUAAGCUCGAGGAAAGUCCGAGCUCCGCAGGGCAGAGUGCCGGAUAACAUCCGGCGAGGGUGACCUCAGAGAUAGUGCCACAGAAAUGUAGACCGCCGGCAACGGUAAGGGUGGAACGGUAUGGUAAGAGCAUACCGGCGGCGGGGUAACCCGUCGGCCAGGUAAACCUCACUCGGAGCAAGACCGAAUAGAAAAGGGAUGAAGUUGCCCGCUGACCUUUUGGGUGUGUCGCUUGAACAGUCGAGUAAUCGGCUGUCUAGAAAGAUGAUUGUCACGUGUAAACGUACAGAACUCGGCUUAUUGACUACUCGUAAU
rfam:Clostridiales bacterium S5-A11 contig016, whole genome shotgun sequence.